rnacentral:rRNA from 1 species
GGGUCAGUAGGUUGGUCGUGCCACCGGUACGUACUGGUCUCACUGAUUCCUCCUUCCUGAAGAACCGUAAUGCCAUUAAUUUGGUGUUGCGGGGAAACAGGACUGUUACUUCGAAAAAAUUAGAGUGUUUAAAGUAAGCUAACGCUUGAAUACAUUAGCAUGGAAUAAUGAAAUAGGACGAUCGAUCCUAUUUUGUUGGUUUCUAGGAUUGACGUA